AAGCGACCGUCGAUCGGACGGACGGUUAUCCUUUACGCAUUCAAAAAUUUGCUUCCACUCAAUCGUCGCAUAAAGUUGUGCGUCUUUCCUUUCUUUAACGCUGCGCGCUCGGUACUUUCAUUUUAUGAUGAACGGCAUCAAACGGCAAGCAGGGCAUGCGUGACAUAGCAUUAUUGACAGGAAAGUAGCGAGCGCACACUUUUCAAGAAAGGAAAUGCAAGCAAGGUAGAGGAUAUUACGGUUGCGCAAGCUUUCCCUAGAUCAAAAAGAAGCCUUUGUUUUAUCUAGGGACUUUACCGAACCGCUGCUUAAACGACUGGCAUCGCCUAGCCGUCAUUAAUGGACACGGGAGAGCGGAGCAGCCAUGUGCACGCCGCUUCUACUCUAAACGAACGAGCAAUGUUUGUUUGCUGCUCCUCCCGUGUCCACAUGUAUUGCGAGCAACUUUGUCUGAAUGUGUAUUCGUCGCGGAAGGCUUAUUAUUGUGUGGUGAGGUCGAGCCCAAUCACCCGAUGUUCUGGAUUUAAGCGUGAGGCCCUGAUGUGAAGUCCCGACACUGGAUGCAGUGACCUGUCCUCGAGUCGCACGUGUCUGCGUGACCGUUGCAGUCGCAGCGCUGGCAGUUGGGGUAGUUCCAGAAGCCAGGCUGGCAUUCGUCGCACUGUCGGCCGUCCAGCCGAAUGGACACGGAUUGCACGCCGUUCUCGGACUGCCACCAUGUAUCCUUGUGCCUUCUGCCAAUCCUGAAAUGCAAACAAAGCAGGGACGAAGCGAUGCAAUGGAAAGGGAGGACACAGGGAGACGUCUCACAGGCAGCCUACGUUGGCUCACACAUCAAACCUCAAUAUAAUGAACAUGGAUAUGACAAAAAGAGGCAUCGACAGUAGCGGCAGAGUAGCAGGCUAUCUGCAUACUCCUCGCGGAGGCCAUGCUUCUUCCGGAGGCGGUGGAAGAGGCGCUGCCACCCGGGGGCGCCGUCGAGCUUUUCUGGCGGCUGCUGCAGCCA